CCAUGGUCUCCGCAUCUCAAUUUGCCUUUCUCAGAUACUAUUGUACUCAGAACCGGAUUACAAGGGAGAGUGCCGUAUCUUCAACUACAAAGAGGAAGCCGCAACAGAAGAAUUCCAGACCAAGUCCUGCAGAGUUGUUGGAGGAAGCUGGGUUCUCUAUGAGAAUAAAGACUUUUCAGGGACCAUGUAUGUCUUAUCAGAAGGAGGCUAUCGCUCAUUAACAAGCAUGGGCUGCCCACCAAACACCUUCAUCCGCUCCGUCAAGGCUGUGCCGAUGAGUUUCUCAGUUCCAUCCAUCUCAUUGUUUGGACUGGAAGGGCUGGAGGGAAGGGAGAUCUCAACAGACUCUGAGCUUCUCAACAUGCAAGCGGAGGGCUUCAAUGACCACGUCCUUUCGGUCAGAGUCAACAGUG